rnacentral:rRNA from 1 species
CAGCAAUGGAUCUCUUGGCUCUCGCAUCGAUGAAGAACGCAGCGAAUCGCGAUAAGUAAUGUGAAUUGCAGAUUUUCCGUGAAUCAUCGAAUCUUUGAACGCACCUUGCGCUCCUUGGUAUUCCGAGGAGCAUGCCUGUUUGAGUGUCAU